rnacentral:tRNA from 1 species
AGGGGUGUAGCUCAAUUGGCAGAGCGUUGGUCUCCAAAACCAAAGGUUGCGAGUUCGAUUCCCGCCGCCCCUGCCA